rnacentral:rRNA from 1 species
GACGUAGGGGGCAAGCGUUGUCCGGAUUUAUUGGGCGUAAAGAGCUCGUAGGCGGUUUGUCGCGUCGGAUGUGAAAACCCAGGGCUCAACCCUGGGCCUGCAUUCGAUACGGGCAGACUAGAGUAUGGCAGGGGAGACUGGAAUUCCUGGUGUAGCGGUGAAAUGCGCAGAUAUCAGGAGGAACACCGGUGGCGAAGGCGGGUCUCUGGGCCAAAACUGACGCUGAGGAGCGAAAGCGUGGGGAGCGAACAGG